CACCGCGUGCCGCCGCCGCGAACCCUGCGGGGAUGCCCGCACGCCGAGCGCCGGGCUGUGCGCGCUGCCUCGCCCAGCCCAGCCCUCCCCCCAUCCCGGCGCCCUGGAGGCAGGGAGCCUUCCCGCCGGCCCGAUGGGGAAGGCGAGAACGGUUAUUCGGUGCCUGGCUCCUUGGCGGGGCUGGACGCGUCUGCGCUUUGGUAGCCAACCGCCUGCAUCCAUCCAGCCCAUCCAGCAGGCUGUAGGAGCUGUGCGAUCUGGUUGCUCAAACGCGCUCCCAGGAACCAAGGGUCGUGACCCUGGCUACCAGAUGCUUCCUGUUAGCUGCCCGCACUGGGGCCUCUCCUGGCUGAAAAGACACUCUGCCCUAGGACUCCUUCAACCUUGACCUUGACUCUGCUUGCCCUCUCUGGAUCCCUACUGCGCUAAUCUUAGAUUCACAAUUUUCCUUUUUUAAAAUUAAAAAAAAAAAAAAAUCCUGAAAAAUACAAAAUAUCAUAAUGGCCUCUACCUUGCAAAAUCAACUAUCUUUUUUUAAAAAUUAUGUAAAUUAAAUUGAAUUCACAUAUUCUGUAUUAUUAGCUUCAGAGGUAGAAUUUAGUGAUUCAUCAGUUGCAUAUAACACCCACAAAAUUAGCUGUCUUUUACAUUUUGGUAUAUUUGCUCCCAAUUGUUUUUUUUUUAAAAACAAAUCAUUUGUUUUUUUGCAAAAGUGAUACAAAAAAUGUACACAGUAAAAAUUUUAAAGUAAUGCAGAAAAAUACAGAAAAUAAAGGGAAACCAAAGUUUUUUCA
rnacentral:lncRNA from 1 species